CCUACGGGAGGCAGCAGUGGGGAAUCUUGCGCAAUGGGCGAAAGCCUGACGCAGCCAUGCCGCGUGAAUGAUGAAGGUCUUAGGAUUGUAAAAUUCUUUCACCGGGGACGAUAAUGACGGUACCCGGAGAAGAAGCCCCGGCUAACUUCGUGCCAGCAGCCGCGGUAAUACGAAGGGGGCUAGCGUUGCUCGGAAUUACUGGGCGUAAAGGGAGCGUAGGCGGACAUUUAAGUCAGGGGUGAAAUCCCAGAGCUCAACUCUGGAACUGCCUUUGAUACUGGGUGUCUUGAGUGUGAUAGAGGUAUGUGGAACUCCGAGUGUAGAGGUGAAAUUCGUAGAUAUUCGGAAGAACACCAGUGGCGAAGGCGACAUACUGGAUCAUUACUGACGCUGAGGCUCGAAAGCGUGGGGAGCAAACAGGAUUAGAUACCCUGGUAGUCCACGCCGUAAACGAUGAUUGCUAGUUGUUGGGAUGUUUACAUCUCGGUGACGCAGCUAACGCAUUAAGCAAUCCGCCUGGGGAUACGGUCGCAAGAUUAAAACUUAAAUGAAUUGACCGGNNGAGAGNGCGAGACGACGACGAGGGAGAG
rnacentral:rRNA from 1 species